CUAAGCGUUCGUAGCCGGAUGAGCAAGCCCUGAGUGAAAUCGUUGCGCUCAACAAAACGACGUGCUUGGGAGACUACACAUCUUGGGACCGGGAGGAGUUAGGGGUAUUCCUGAGGGAGCGGUAAAACAUACUCGCCUACAGCUCGUAGCUGUAAACGGGUGUUUACAGUGUUAUAAUCUCGGGAAGACCACCUGUGGCGAAGGCGCCUAACUAGAACGGGUUCGACGGUGAGGAACGAAAGCUAGGGGAGCAAACCGGAUUAGAUAUCGGGCAGUUUGUCAAUUUUCUUUGUCGUUUGCCAAUCAUUAUCUGCUGACGAAGAAAGAUCAUGAAACUGAAUAUCCCGACUAAUUACCCGAGUAGUCCUAGCU
rnacentral:rRNA from 1 species